AAAGGAAUUGACGGGGGCCCGCACAAGCGGUGGAGCAUGUGGUUUAAUUCGAAGCAACGCGAAGAACCUUACCAGGUCUUGACAUCCCAUUGACCACUGUAGAGAUACAGUUUUCCCUUCGGGGACAACGGUGACAGGUGGUGCAUGGUUGUCGUCAGCUCGUGUCGUGAGAUGUUGGGUUAAGUCCCGCAACGAGCGCAACCCUUGUUCUUAGUUGCCAUCAUUUAGUUGGGCACUCUAAGGAGACUGCCGGUGAUAAACCGGAGGAAGGUGGGGAUGACGUCAAAUCAUCAUGCCCCUUAUGACCUGGGCUACACACGUGCUACAAUGGACGAUACAAACGGUUGCCAACCCGCGAGGGGGAGCUAAUCCGAUAAAAUCGUUCUCAGUUCGGAUUGUAGGCUGCAACUCGCCUACAUGAAGCCGGAAUCGCUAGUAAUCGUGGAUCAGCAUGCCACGGUGAAUACGUUCCCGGGCCUUGCACACACCGCCCGU
rnacentral:rRNA from 1 species